GGGGGCGAAACGGCUUCGACGUAGAUAGAGAACUGCCAGUUGCAUGCCGAGGUCCUGUCCGCUCGUUAAACGGGUAGGAAACACACAACUGCCGACAACUACGGCUACGCUCUAGCCGCUUAAGGCUAGCACCUGGGGAUCUUACGCCGGGAGAAGACCUCAGGUGACCGUUUCCUGGCAAAGCUGCCCAUCUCGCCUGCGGGUUGGCGGACGAAAACUACAGCAGGAUAGCUUCUAAGAAUUCUGUCGGUGGAAGUCUUUAGGGGCAAAAAUAAAACAUCGACUAAGCAUGUAGAUGCUCUCAGGGACUGUUUGCGGACGCGGGUUCGACUCCCGCCGCCUCCACCA
rfam:Deltaproteobacteria bacterium RBG_13_60_28 RBG_13_scaffold_69672, whole genome shotgun sequence.